rnacentral:lncRNA from 1 species
GCGUUUCGUUAUAAUAAUUGAAUAUUAUAGUGUUGCGACGCCGUUCAGCAUCAGGCAGAGAGCAGCCUCACAUGACUUGCGGUCCCAGCAAAAUAUACAGAAGAAGACCUAUCCAACCUUUGACAUUAUUUACUUCUCGAAUACCUGAUUAUGCACGACUGCACGUUAGUAUACAGAAACACUAAUGCGAUAUGGCAAAGAUCAUAUUACAUAAUGUUUUGUUUUUGAAAGCAUAUACAUAAUGUUUCAAAAAAAUAUCAUAUUACAUAACAACAGUAUAAUCACUAGACCACGUUGAGAACAAAUAAUCACAUUAUAUGCCAUGGAAAAUGAUUCUCCUUUUUGUUAGUUUCAAAUAUAUCGUCUACCUCCACGAAAUAGUGAUAGUAUUUUCGUAAGUCAGCCUUCUAAAGUUAUCAGUGUUACAUUCAAAAUAGUAUAAAACGAGCUUAUACUAAGUGGUACUUUUAGUGGGCACUAGUAGUUAUCUAUAUAUAAGGUCCAUUUUUUGUUUGUUAAACUGUAAGGUCCAUUAGGAUACACUUUCCCUAGUAUGUACAAUAUACUCAUAGAGAGCAACUCUUUAACUCAGGACCACAAAUAUAUGACCACAAAAUAUAUAAAAGGUUCUGCUAAACUUAAAUUGGAAGAGAAGCAAACACAUAAUGCAAAUUAGAAACUAAAAUUUACAGAUUACCAGUGUUCUCUUUUUUUUCUUAAAUAUUAUCUAAUUUUAAUUCAAUAAAGAUACAUAUAUAGUAAGGAAAGGAGUGUAAGCGUGGAUGAAGAACCAUCAAGGUCCAAGAAGAUAAUAUACGCUUAAAUAUAAUGAAAAGACUGAAAAUGAAACCUAUGAGAAAAAAACGUUACUGUAUAUAAAUAUAUAUAUGCAUGUUGGCCCACGUGGUUCAUGCAACAGAGCAUAUCUGUUCCCCACCUAGCCUGGCCCCAGCCAGAGGCACUACAAAGUAAGUAAUUCCUAACAAAUCUAAAAGCGAAGGAGAAAAUAAUUUGCUAAUGAUAUUGCAACUUUGGCGAGUAAAUGUACGAAUACAUCUACGUCACUGACUGGGGUUUCGCACUUUCUCAAAAUAACUGGUUCUGAAAGUUUUGCCCGGCAUUAAUCAAUCAUGCUUUACCAAAACGCCAAUAACAACACUAAUUGUAAUUAACAAGAUACAGAUAGAUACCUGUCGGUGGCUGACUUCACCGGAGAAAGAGACUAAUUUUCUUUGAUCAAAGAGAAAAAGGAAGAAAGCAAGAAAAAGGUGGUGAUAUUAAAAGUGCUAAAGUGAAACUCUAAACAAAAUUGAUA